rnacentral:piRNA from 1 species
GGAUCUAAGAUUAUUGUGUUGUGUGUUCU